rnacentral:pre_miRNA from 1 species
CAUGUACUCCCUCUGUUCGGAAUUACUUGUCGCGAAAAUGGAUAUAUCUAGACGUAUUUUAGUUCUAGAUACAUCCAUUUCCAAGACAAGUAAUUCUGAAUGGAGGGAGUAUGUG